GAUGAACGCUAGCGGGAGGCCUAACACAUGCAAGCCGAGCGGUAUUGUUUCUUCGGAAAUGAGGGAGCGGCGUACGGGUGCGUAACACGUGUGCAACCUGCCUUUAUCUGGGGGAUAGCCUUUCGAAAGGAAGAUUAAUACUCCAUAAUAUAUUGAACGGCAUCGUUUAAUAUUGAAAGCUCCGGCGGAUAGAGAUGGGCACGCGCAAGAUUAGCUAGUUGGUGAGGUAACGGCUCACCAAGGCGAUGAUCUUUAGGGGGCCUGAGAGGGUGAUCCCCCACACUGGUACUGAGACACGGACCAGACUCCUACGGGAGGCAGCAGUGAGGAAUAUUGGUCAAUGGGUGCAAGCCUGAACCAGCCAUCCCGUGUGAAGGACGACUGCCCUAUGGGUUGUAAACUUCUUUUGUAUAGGGAUAAACCUACCCUCGAGAGGGUAGCUGAAGGUACUAUACGAAUAAGCACCGGCUAACUCCGUG
rnacentral:rRNA from 1 species